rnacentral:rRNA from 1 species
AGCGAACGCUGGCGGCAGGCUUAACACACGCAAGUCGAGCGGGCAUCUUCGGAUGUCAGCGGCAGACGGGUGAGUAACACGUGGGAACGUACCCUUCGGUUCGGAACAACUCUGGGAAACUGGAGCUAAUACCGGAUACGCCCUUAUGGGGAAAGGUUUACUGCCGAAGGAUCGGCCCGCGUCUGAUUAGCUAGUUGGUGGGGUAACGGCCUACCAAGGCGACGAUCAGUAGCUGGUCUGAGAGGAUGAUCAGCCACACUGGGACUGAGACACGGCCCAGACUCCUACGGGAGGCAGCAGUGGGGAAUAUUGGACAAUGGGCGCAAGCCUGAUCCAGCCAUGCCGCGUGAGUGAUGAAGGCCUUAGGGUUGUAAAGCUCUUUUGUCCGGGACGAUAAUGACGGUACCGGAAGAAUAAGCCCCGGCUAACUUCGUG